rnacentral:rRNA from 1 species
AACUUUUAAGUGAAAAGGCUUAAAUAUUUUAAGAAGACGAUAAGACCCUAUAAAGCUUUAUAAGAAGUUUAUAUUUAGUUAAAAUAAAUAAUAAAAUCUUAAUAUUUACUCUUAUUUUAUUGGGGAGAUAAAAUUAUAAUUUAAUAUAACUGAGUUUUAUUAAUACAAAAAUAAAUGUUUAUUAGUAGAUAAAAGAUCCCUUCUAGGGAUUUUAAGUUUAAGUUACUUUAGGGAUAACAGCGUUAUUUCUUUUGAGAGUUCGUAUCGAAAAAGAAGAUUGCGACCUCGAUGUUGAAUUAAAAUUUCUAGAUUAUUGCAGAAGUAAUCUUAGAAGGUCUGUUCGACCUUUAAAUUUUUACAUGAUUUGAGUUCAGACCGGCGUGAGCCAGGUCGGUUUCUAUCUUUUAAUAAGUAAUAAUUAUUUUAGUACGAAAGGAUU